rnacentral:lncRNA from 1 species
AAGUGCAUUGAUUGCCUUUUCAUUCUUAUGUCAUGAUCUGUACACCCUGUCUGUGUUUGAGGUGGUCACUUAGUUACUGAUUUAACAAGGCAUAGUGCAGCCAAGUCAUUUGGAAGCCAGUCUUUGCAUCUCCUUUUCCUGCCAUGAAUUGUUUUCCCUCCUUUUUGGUUUAAUUAGGACGUGACUUCACUUAGAUGUAGAAAUAUAUGCAUGAAUUGCUUUCCCUCCUUCACAGCCUCAGUUAUCAGUUUAUCAUUUCCAGUGCAAGUCUGUAGGUUUGCUUAUGGUCAUUGUUCUGCGAAGAUAUUGGUGAACUUUUACUCAACUCUCCUGCUAUCAACAGCAUUUCAUUGUGAUGAGAUAAGUUCUAUGUUAGUAACUCGGUUGUGACUUGUUUGUAAGUUGUAGAGUUCUCAUGGGCGCUGAAUUUUACACGGUCCAAUUUAUGUGAGCUGGGGGAGUAUAAUUUGGGUCAUAAAAGGGGAUGUAAUUUGGUUCAUCCAUAGGUUAGAGCUGCAUUAACAAUGAAUUUGGCAAAUAAUAUGUUUAGGGAAAUAAAAAUUCGUUUAGAUUAAACCUUUGAACUUGCAGUAAAUUUCAUUUGGGUUCAUCCAUGCUGACUAAGAAUCAACUCGG